rnacentral:sRNA from 1 species
CAUUACCGAGUUUACAACUCCCAAACCCCUGUGAACAUACCUUAUGUUGCCUCGGCGGAUCAGCCCGCGCCCCGUAAAAAGGGACGGCCCGCCGCAGGAACCUUAAACUCUGUUUUUAGUGGAACUUCUGAGUAUAAAAAACAAAUAAAUCAAAACUUUCAACAACGGAUCUCUUGGUUCUGGCAUCGAUGAAGAACGCAGCAAAAUGCGAUAAGUAAUGUGAAUUGCAGAAUUCAGUGAAUCAUCGAAUCUUUGAACGCACAUUGCGCCCGCCAGUAUUCUGGCGGGCAUGCCUGUUCGAGCGUCAUUUCAACCCUCAAGCCCAGCUUGGUGUUGGGAGCUGCAGUCCUGCUGCACUCCCCAAAUACAUUGGCGGUCACGUCGAGCUUCCAUAGCGUAGUAAUUUACAUAUCGUUACUGGUAAUCGUCGCGGCCACGCCGUUAAACCCCAACUUCUGAAUGUUGACCUCGGAUCAGGUAGGAAUACCCGCUGAACUUAAGCAUAUCAAUAAGCGGAGGAAAAGAAACCAACAGGGAUUGCCCUAGUAACGGCGAGUGAAGCGGCAACAGCUCAAAUUUGAAAUCUGGCUUUCGGGCCCGAGUUGUAAUUUGUAGAGGAUGAUUUUGAUGCGGUGCCUUCCGAGUUCCCUGGAACGGGACGCCAUAGAGGGUGAGAGCCCCGUCUGGUUGGAUGCCAAAUCUCUGUAAAUCUCCUUCGACGAGUCGAGUAGUUUGGGAAUGCUGCUCUAAAUGGGAGGUAUAUGUCUUCUAAAGCUAAAUACCGGCCAGAGACCGAUAGCGCACAAGUAGAGUGAUCGAAAGAUGAAAAGCACUUUGAAAAGAGAGUUAAAAAGUACGUGAAAUUGUUGAAAGGGAAGCGUUUAUGACCAGACUUGGGCUUGGUUAAUCAUCUGGGGUUCUCUCCAGUGCACUUUUCCAGCCCAGGCCAGCAUCAGUUUUCGCCGGGGGAUAAAGACUUCGGGAAUGUGGCUCCCCUCGGGGAGUGUUAUAGCCCGUUGUGUAAUACCCUGGUGGGGACUGAGGUUCGCGCU